CCUACGGGAGGCAGCAGUGGGGAAUAUUGCGCAAUGGACGCAAGUCUGACGCAGCGACGCCGCGUGAGGGAUGAAGGUUUUCGGAUUGUAAACCUCUGUCAGGAGGGAAGAAAGCGCAUGGCGUAAAUCAGCCAUGCGUUGACGGUACCUACAAAGGAAGCGCCGGCUAACUCCGUGCCAGCAGCCGCGGUAAUACGGAGGGCGCGAGCGUUAAUCGGAAUUACUGGGCGUAAAGCGCGCGUAGGCUGUUGUGUAAGUUGGGGGUGAAAUCCCACGGCUCAACCGUGGAACUGCCUGUGAUACUGCGCGACUUGAGUCCGGGAGAGGGUGGCGGAAUUCCAGGUGUAGGGGUGAAAUGCGUAGAUAUCUGGAGGAACAUCAGUGGCGAAGGCGGCCACCUGGACCGGUAUUGACGCUGAGGCGCGAAAGCGUGGGGAGCAAACAGGAUUAGAUACCCGAGUAGUC
rnacentral:rRNA from 1 species